rnacentral:misc_RNA from 1 species
AAAAAAAAAAAAAGGGGAGAGAAAAUCUCAUUAAUAACUGGUAAGAGUUAAAAAAAAAUAUCAAAAUACAUUUUUAUAUGUGUAUAAUAAAAUCACGUAAUUAAUUUAGCAAUAUACAUAAAUGGGUCAUAAUAGAUUUAAACACAUUAAAAUAAAACAAGUUAAUUUGUUAACCUAUUUAAAUGUCAUGUGUUUAAGUGGGUUAAGUGAGUCAAUCCGAUUAAACUUAUAUUUUUAGCAUGUCCUAAAUAGAUUGACCAGUUUAUAACUCAAAUCUAUUUAUAGUUAACUUAAACUCGCCUAACUAUACGUCUUGUAAAUGGAUCAUAUCAAAAAUUACCAACCCUAGUUUGUUCACAGUUUUAAUCACCAU